CACCCACUGAGGAAGACUCAAAACAGUGCAGGAUGAUACCAGUAUUCUUCUGUUAUAGGACCUAGGGUUGUGUGACCCUGCAUCUCUUAAUUUCUUAUGAGUCCUCUGGAAAUGGUUUAGCUCUGUCCUGCUGCACAAUAUCAAGAACUGGGGAAUGUGGAAGAUAGAGCCUCUGUGGAAUUAGAAGUGUCUGACACUGGAAUCCAUCAUCAACUGAAGCUUUGGACCUUCCAUCUCUACAGCCUCAAAUUCCACAAACCUGGCAGAAUUCAUGAGUGAAUGCCCUAACCUCCAGUAUGAUGGUAUUUGGAGAUGAUGGCUUCAGUCCUUCUUAGGAUUUUAAUGAGAUCAUGAGGGGGGAGUUCCCAUGAUAGUAGUAGUACCCUUCUAGGAAAAGGAAGAGACACUAAAGCUGUUUCAGCAAUAGGAUAUAACAGGUAAUGCAGCCAUUAUCUAAAGCCUAUCUGGCACCACUUUUCUGGGACACCCCAAUUUCAGAACUAUGAUAAAUGAAUCCCAAUGGUUUCAGCUGCCCACUCUGUAGCAGUGUGUAUGGCAGCAUGAUUUGAGCAACCCAGAGUAUAGAGUGUCCUGGGAGCAGGGUUAAAGCCUGAGACAAUCCUACAUCUCCAUGGAGGAUCCAAAUGGAAUGAGUACCCACUCAAGAAUUCUGUACCACCUCAAUAUCCUAAAAUGAAAUUCCCCAGAACAAUAGAACAGUAUGGGUGGGUGUUCAGAGAGAUCUGUGCUGGUACCUCCACCCCUCUCCCUGACACUAGUUGUGAUGUUGCCUGUCAUGAACAAUCAGGUCUAUGCUAGAAGGUGAAAAUACUUAGUGAGGGGCAAUCAUAUGGCGUCAGAGAGUCAAUUCCAAAUCCUGGUUCACAUUAUCCCCAGGAUCCUUCUCUGACCUUGGGUCCUCCAUGUGAUGGUAAUGCUCAUUGGAAAGAAAGAUUACUGCACUCACAGGGCUAUGAUGGGCAACUGAGAUAAGGCACAUUUCCUCCCCUGGUGUAAGAUGAAC